GCGCGUGUCUAAUUUUAGAUUUAAAAAGGAUUCCCAAACUAUGUAUAGAACUGAAACGUAUUCUACGGAAGAGAAAAAAAAAGGGGGGGGGGGUGGAUUUAGAAAUGCUGAUUCCGACAUGUAUAAUAGAUAUGCCAUUUGACUUUUGUACACUCAUAAUUGUUGAUGCUACUGUGACAAUGUGCAGUACGGGGUGCCAUCGUCCGCUAUUGCUUGCAAUAGCAAAUCUAGUUAUUUUUAUUAUUCUUCCACACAUUUUGUCCAU
rnacentral:lncRNA from 1 species